GAUUAUGCAAACUGUGAGAAAUUCAAAAACUGAGGAAGCUCCUGCCUGUGUUUUCGUAUCGCAAUGAGAACUGAAGCUAGGCAUGUAUUCACCAACAUGAGAUAAAUAUGAGUGCAUGAAGCAGCAGAGGCUGCUAAGCAUGCUGAAGAAUGGACCCUUGUUCCUAAAGUCUUCCUCAGGACAGAGACACAAACAGGACCAGGUGACCUCAAUUAUUUGUGAAUGGAGAAUGGGUGUAUGAACUGUCUCUUUAAACUCUCCCAAAGACGACCAGUUAAUAUUACAUUAUUAAAAAUGUAAAGGAAGUUUCAUUCUACUAACAAUACAAGUGCAGUAAAAUACUUUAUAUGUUAUAGUUGCUCCAUAAAUUUUAGGCUCCGUCUGUUGAUCAUUUUUUUACCACCAGAAUAUAGAGAAAACAAUGAAGGAACUUCCACUUUGAGCUUAUCUGAGCCACACAGAGGAAAAAAGUGGUAAACAGAAAUAAUAGGAAAGUUUAGAAAAAAAUUUAUUGUUCUUUCAUAAUUAAAUGUACUAUGUAUUUUUUAAAGAAAUAACCUUAGCUAUUUUGAAUCUAUAUCCCUUUCUUAAGGAUAAUAAAAAACUUUAACAUAUUUGAACUCCUCACUGAAUACCUCACUCCCUGCCUUAUCUAACUGUCUUCAUUUUUUUGGUUAGGAAAUUUAAUACUAUGUUGUUUAUGUAAGACAUGGUUUUCUGAUGACCCCAGUAUUUAAUUACAUUUGACAGUAUUAUUUGCUCACCACAAGUUUUGUUCUGUUUUGUUUUAUUAUUUCUUUAAAAAUCUACUCAUUUCUCUACAUUAUUAUUGCUAAAAUUCAUCCCUUAAAUAUUAUUUUUGUGAUGAUCUGUGAAACAUGAACACUUUUAUUCUUUGUCUAGAAUUGCCUUAAUUCCCCUUGUUCUUUGAUGUUAUUUAGGCUGGGCAUAGAAUUAUAGGUUGCCAGCUUCUGUGCCUCAGCAUCAUUUUCUGAAUAUAUUGUAGUUAAUAAGAAGUGUUUUGCAAACUUAAUUUUCAUAUUUUGAAGAUGAUAAUAUACAUUAUUUAUAAUUUUUAAACAAUGUGUGAAGUUUCUCUAUAGUAUGUACUUGUAUCCAGUGCCAUACUAUUCUUCUACACAGAAUGAUCUAUUGAAAAUGCAAUAUAGUGAGUUACAUUAUGAUAUUGCUUAAAAUCCUGCACCACCCCCAUAUCUACAGGAUAAAAUUCAAAUUUAUCAGGAAAGCCGCAAUGGUUCAUGCCAAUCCCUAUAGCCUUAUCUCUGACCAUUGUAGACCUCACACUUUAUGUGCCAGACACAUAAAAAUACUUCUCAUUCACUGAACAUACUAUGCUGUUUUUAGGUUCUGAGUGUCUAUUUAUUCUGUUCUCUCUACUAAAAGUAUCUUCCUUCUCAUUCUCAAUUUUAUUUUUAACUAAUAAAUUUUCCUUAAUAUUUAAGCCUUUAUUGAAACCUUAUCUCUUCCAAGAAGCUUGACCUAACUCCUCCAGUAUGAGGUAACUGUGUUUCUUCUGUGCUCCCAAAAUACUCCAUUUAUGUGAAUGACUCUCCCAAUGGAUCUUAAGUUUCUUGGUAUCAGGGGCUAUGUCUAACACAUUUCUAGCCCCUAUCAUAUAUACUACUCUUCACUUAGAAGAUUCUUAGUAUAUAUUUGCUGAGUAUUUAAAAUAACUAAGGAAAAGAAGGUAGACAAUAUAAUAUGAAUUUUACCAUAAUUCCAUGGACCCAUAUAUAUUGUAUUAACAUUCAAACUUCAACUACUAUCCUAUCUUUAUAAUUCACUUACUCUAGAAUACUCACAAGAAUCUAAAUAUUUGAUAAGGUCAAUAAUUUAAAACUGGGAAAAGAAAACAAAGUUUCCUCCCUCCUCAGUUCUUAUAGAGAAAAGCAGUAUGUCAACGUACAUUGAAAUUUAUUUCUAGAUUAAAAAAACAUUUAUUGUCUACAAAGAAUUUAAAAUACCUGGUACUAUUGAAAAUCUCAAAACCACAACAACGUAAAGAAACUUCUUAGAAGAUUUAUACAUUAUUUUUUAUUAUUUUUUAAAUUUCUGGAUUUAAGACAAAAUACUCUAACUUCACCAGAUUCAAAAUCUAAUUCUCAUGCAAG
ensembl:lncRNA novel transcript